UACGAAGGGGGCUAGCGUUGCUCGGAAUCACUGGGCGUAAAGCGCACGUAGGCGGAUCGCUAAGUCAGGGGUGAAAUCCUGGAGCUCAACUCCAGAACUGCCUUUGAUACUGGCGGUCUCGAGUCCGGGAGAGGUGAGUGGAACUGCGAGUGUAGAGGUGAAAUUCGUAGAUAUUCGCAAGAACACCAGUGGCGAAGGCGGCUCACUGGCCCGGUACUGACGCUGAGGUGCGAAAGCGUGGGGAG
rnacentral:rRNA from 1 species